rnacentral:rRNA from 1 species
UGGCGGACGGUGAGUAACGCGUGGGUAACCUACCUCACACAGGGGGAUAACAGUUGGAAACGACCGCUAAUACCGCAUAAGCCGGAAGGAUCGCAUGAUCCGGCCGGAAAAGAUUUAUCGGUGUGAGAUGGACCCGCGUCUGAUUAGCCAGUUGGCAGGGUAACGGCCUACCAAAGCGACGAUCAGUAGCCGGCCUGAGAGGGUGAACGGCCACAUUGGGACUGAGACACGGCCCAAACUCCUACGGGAGGCAGCAG